GGCUGCACCUGCGGCAUAUGGAAGUGGGCUAGGGGUUGGAAUUGGAGCGGUAGCCGCUGGCCUACACCACGGCCACAGCAACAUAAGAUCUGAGCCAUGUCUGAGACCUACACCACAGCUCACAGCAAUGCUGGAUCCUUAACCCACUGAGCAAGGCCAGGGAUCAAACCUGCGUCCUCAUGGAUGCUAGUCAGAUUCGUUUCUGCUGAGCCACUAUGGGAACUCCAAGAGUUUCAUACUUUCUUAUGGAACCAAAUAUACCUUCACCAUGAAAACUAACACUUCCUCAAGAAAUAAAAACAGGACCACAGAAAGAUUUCAACAGCAACACUCACAAAAACUUUGGUAUAGUAACCUCAAACAGUCUAAAUCCUUAUCUGGAGGUAAAUGGAUAAAAAGUAUGGCAUAUUCACACAGCGGACUGCUACUCAGCUUAAAAAGGAAAAAACAAAACCCUACUGAUACAUGGAACAUGGGUGAAUCUCAAAAACAUACCACUGAGUGAAGGAAGGCAUCCGCAGAAGAGAAUAUAUAGUAUGAUUCCCCUUAUUUGAAACUCUAGAAGAGACAAAUCUAAUUUAGUGAUAGAAAGCAGACCAAUGGUUGUCUAGGGCCAGGACUGGGGGAGAGGGCAGGGGUUGCCUGAAGAGAGGUUCAAGGGAACUUUCUGGGGUGAUGAUGGGAGGUUCUAUAACCUGUUACUGGUUAUAUUUACAUAUAUGGUAUAAGUUUUUUGAAAUUUGUUGAAAUGUACGCUGGCAAUGAGCACAUUUCCUUGUACGCAAACCCUACCUUUAAAAAGGUCAAGAACUGUUAUUUCACACAAAAUUAGAACAAGUUUUACAAAAUCACCUGUAAUCCUACCCUUUGGAAAUAAUCCUGUAAAUAUUUUGGCACAUAGUCCAAAUGACACUGCAAACAUUUUCUUGGUAUAUAUGUCAUGUACAUUCAGGGUUUUACAAAAUCAGAGUCAUGUUACAUUUAGUAUUUUGUAACUUCCUUUUUCCAUUUAACAGCAUCUUGAACGUAUUUCCACAUCCUCAAAAGCACUCCCAUACCCACACUUUUAAUGGCUGUGGAAGCACUGCAUCCUAUGACUAUAUCCUCAUUUACAUCAUCCAGCCCUGCCUGUGGGAUAUUUAGGCUGUUUCCCAUUAUUCGCUAUCAUAACCAUGUUGAGCUAAACAUCCUCGGAGUUACAUCUUUUUGCUCAUCAAAUGGCUUCCUUGGUUGAAUUCCAAGCAGUGCAGGGGGCCAGGUCAAAGGCCCUGGUUAAGGCUGUGGAUGAGUAAUACCCCAGCAGCUCAGGACCCCAUCACUGUAGGAAUCUGGAUUUCCUUUAUCAGUGUGUGAGAUGCCCUUGAGGAUGAAUUCCAAGAGCCAGCCACCUUUUUCCUGUUGGCUCCCCACCUCCGUUCUGUCGGAGGCGAGUCCUGAGGAACACUUGCAGAAUGCACUCUUCUUGAGGGUGUGUGGGUGGAGGUGUGUGGAGGAGGGCCCUGGCACCUGCAGGGGGAAAUAUCUGAAUUGAUUGCUGGGAGCAUUUCUCUUCCUCUUGGAGCUGAGCAAGGCCUGCGGGUGGGAGGCCCCUCUGCCUGGCAGGGCUGGGAGGCAGGCCAGGUCAAGAGCCACACUUCCGAGCAAAUACCACCUGCUCCAGGUCAUUCUUGCAGCGUUAGCUGGGGCACUGCCCAGGGACCUCGCCUGGGGCACGGGUGGAGCUGGUGGCCAAAGGCCAGAACACACCCCAAAUCAGAAACUUCCCUCAUCUUUUCUUGCUGGUGUCCGAGAAGUGCUUGCUGUGGUCAGCAGGAUUUUGUUAAGUCAUGUGUCCACUGGAUCUCUCCAGGGUGGGCCACAGUAGGUAAAAAGCUACAAAAACAGGUCUCUGGCCCUUUUCUAGCUCAUUCCAGGGCCCUCCCCACAGAGCAUGUGAUACCUGCUAUACGAUCAAAUUUGGCCAAGAUUUCCAGAAGGCUGUUCUCUUUCCCCUCCUCUCCUCCCCUUCACCCCUUUCCUAUCGAAUAGAUAGAUAUUAGACCCCCCCCCCCCACUUCUCCCUUGGGGGCUCAGAUGACUAUUCCACGGUCUGUCUCCUUCAGGGGUUCAUAUUUAAUUUUCUCUCCCCCCGGGCUCCGGUCCCCAGCGCCCCUCGCCCCGCAGGGAGGAGUCACGAGGGUCUCUGGGCAGCACGCAUAGGCACAGACACACACGAAGGUCACAGAGAACGUUCUGCAUCAGUUCCUGAGACAUUCCCUAUCUUUUCAGGCUCACAGCCCUUUAAUAGGUGCUCCGGAAGAUCCCCAAAUCCUGGGGGUUCAUUGAAAAAGCCGUCAGGGUUGACAGACGUCCUCUUUGCGCCCAUGGAAAAGCACUUCCGGUUCACAAGAGCACUUCCCGGUUUGCGGAAAGUACUUCCGGCCCGAGGGCUAGGCGUGGAGAGGGGGGGCUUUGGGCUCUGGCCGUGCACCUCGAGGGCACAGCUUACCUCUGCGACACUCAGGUGUUCUCACCCAGGACUCCGGGCUGAGCACCGCGCGGGUGUGGUCCUGCUGUUGUGAGCGCCUGUAGUUAGUGUCCAGGGAGAGGUGGUCCGUCGGGGACGAAGCCAGGGACGGGGCGAAGGAACCGAGAGGCAGGACAGCUGCAUUCGGGUAUGCCCAGGCUCGCUUUUCAGGGUUGGCGCCCAAGGUCCCGUGGAGGAAGGGGCACGAGGCCAGUUUUACCUCAUCGUGUGGAAUAACUUCGCAGCCCUGGAGGCAAACAAGCCAGAUGGCAGCUUCUUGGCAACUCAAGCAUUGGACCAGGUGAGGAGUCAACCAGCAUGUGGCCAGUGGAUGGACACGAGGGGGGAGUGUCUCACAGUACCUUGUCCAGUAAGGCCUUCACAGUUUUUGACUGUCAUUCUUACGUUAUUAAUAUCAUUGUGGAUAGUUUCUUUCCUUUGUUCUGUUCUAGACAUUCCUCCAGGGAGCAGGCAUUAGUGGGGUGCAAAAGAAGGGCCUUGUGAAAGUGUUCUCCUCCUGAGCUGUGGGGACCCCAGUGUGGUUGGUGGCUGCCUUGGGGCGAGGGACAGAUGGCGGUGUCCUUGGUGAGUGAAGCUCAUCUGUUUGUUUUGAAGGAAACCCUUCUGCCAACCCAGCCACCCUUAGCUGUCUCUGUCUGGCGAGUGGGUGAAAUCCAGGUGGGCUCCCUGGCAGGAGUGGUGGGAACGUUUGGCUGGAGCUGGCCCAUUUGUUCAUGGAGGAUGGGCAGGGGGCUUCAGGGAGCAAAGGGCAGGCAGGAAACCAGCAGCCCACCCAAGUCCCUGCCGGCACAGGCUGCAGUGGGCAGAAACUGCUUCCUCUCUUGCCCGGCAUUGAGGAGAAAGGAACUAGACUCAGUUCCUGAAUUGGAAAGGAGAGGAAAGGCAAGGCUGUGAACUAUUGACAGCACUGCACUUUCCCCAGCUCUGGGAGUGAUUUGCAUGGGAACCCACGAGGCGGAAGCAGUAUUUUAGCAGCUGCUUUCCAAGGCUGAUGAACAGCAGGAGACGUGGCAGUGAAGACAACACAUCCAGAUUUCCGGUCCCCAAGUCUUUUCAGAAAAGCAGCAAACUCUGUUUGUGGCACCUGGGCGUCUCCCAUGCCAUGGCGGGUCUCGUGGGCCCAGGCAGCUGGUGCCACCCUUGCCAGAAGUGCCACCUGGGCCAGGUGCCCUCCUGCCCCGGCUCUGCACCUGGGUGUCCUUGGCUGGUCACAUCAUUUGUUGCAAGACGUGUGUACAGACUGAACUGAGGUUAUACGCAGAAAGUUGCUACUACUUAUGACUGCAAAUCUCUGCAUCCUGGACAUGAAUCAGACCUUGCUCAAUGGCCUCUAAGUAGCUCGACGUAUUUAAUGUUUCUGAUGGCAAGCAAGUCAGUAAGGACUUGCAGCAGCCACCGUAAAGUCACAACAGGGGUGUGAGUGUCCAUGCCGAGCUUGGCAGGUGACAGGCACUCAAUCGACGGACUUGUCAUAUCGAUCAGAUCGUUAGGGAGAGACCGCGGGAGAAACGAGGUACGGGUGAAGUGACCAGAAGGACAGAAGACGCAGGCCGGCAGCAUGAAAGCAGGACGCGGCCUCAGCCUGAUGCCCUGGGGGCUCCGGAGGCCCCAUCCACGGCAGAGCUGCUUUCCAAGUCCCAGCCGGUGAGCCAGGGGCUCAGGGCUGCGCUGGGGUCUGGUGGGUCUGUAGCCCUUGGAUAGUUCUCAGAAGGGAGCUCAGGUGCUUGGCUGGAGGAGCAGAAGCACAGAGAGGCUGCGGGGAGAACACCCCGAAGCCGUGAAAGUGAUGCAGCUCCAUCCGGCUGGGGCACCAGAGGUGUCUGUCUGUCUGAAGGCUGACUGGAGGCCGGGGCUGCUGGCACUUCCCGGGAGCCGCCAGGAGCCAGGGCACACUCUGCUCUUGUUUGCUGGUGAUUUGGGGCAAGUCUCUCCCCUGAUCCUUGUCUCAUCAACUGAAAUGCUCAUUUCUUCCCGCUGCACCUCCUCUGCAACUCCCUCCCUGUUCCCACCCAACUGUGGGUGCCUCCCUGAGGCUCCCCUUGCUUGUGAGUGUGCCGAUUGCGCUGGCCUCAGCCAUGUGCCCUGAGCCAGACAUCCUGGAUGCGUGUGCGGCCUCAGCCUGCCCAGAGGCUGAGAGGAGAGAAGUGUGGGGAGAAAGACGGGGGAGGAGGGAAGGGGAGAGAGGCGGGUGCUCAAGACACAGCAGGGGGAGGGACCAGUCCCCCACCCCCCACCCCGCAAGAGCACGGUGGCCCGGUGUUCCCAGUGCUGAGUCUCACCCAGGCCUAGUUCUCUCUGUCACCCGGGCAGUUGCUAAGCAUCCUUGGACCCACAGCAAGCUUCCGGCCACAUACGUUCCAAGCACCUGCUGUGCGCCGGCACAGGGCACCUGCUGUGUGCAGGCCCAGGGCAGUGAAGCCUGGGGCAGCCUCCGCUUUCACGGGCUCGUGUUAUAUACGGAGGUUCGACUUCACUCAGGGCACCAUGUGAAGGAGUUUCCUGCGGGCUCGCAGUCAAGGGCAGGGGUCCCUGCUGGUGGAGACCCUGAUGGCCUCAGCCUUCACCGUGGGCCUCGAGCAAAGACCCUCCCACGGCCCCUCCGCACUGCAUUCCUGGGGGCGUGAUCUGGACCCUGGCUACCCCUCAGGCUCAUUCACUUCCACUGGCCCUGCCCCAGAACGUUCUAAGUGCAUAUGAAUUGAAUGCUGGCUCUCACCCCAAUCUCUGCCCCCGCCCCCAGCCCUGGCCAGCAAUUCCUUACCUCAAGGAGGUCAAAGAACAAGCAGAGGAGCGUUUUAAUUGGUCUGCACGGGGCAUCCCGGCGCUGAGAGCCUCCCCCAGAGGCCCCUGCCCUCCCUUCCCCGUUUAGGUCCAUCCUCAGCCCUGACUGCUCACCUGUCUGCCCUGGGCUGUCACCCUUCCAAAUAGCCAUUUUGGGGGUCACCCCUGUGUGGGGGGGGCGCUUGCUGACCAGCCCGGCAUCACCUUUUGCUCGUCGGGGAUGAGAGUGAAGUGAUGUCCCAGCUGCCAAGCGCGGCAGGCAGUCCCUGCCGGGGUCCUGGUUAAAAAGCCUCCAUGGAGGACAUUUAGGGGACAGCUGGGAGAGAUGUAAACACGGACCCGGGAUCAGAGGAUAUUAGGGAAUUCUUGCUACUUUUUCUCGGGGAGUGAAUUGUACUGUGAGCACACGAGGAAUGUCUCUCGCUGGAGAUGCUGCAACACGGAGGGUGGCGGUACCGGCGGCUGGAAGAGACAAGAUGUGGUCCAGCAGUGUCUGUCCGACUUUCUGCUGAGCAGAAACUUUGGCAAAAAGAUUGUAGUGUUGAGUCUGAGUCAUGGAUAUAUGGGAAGCAUUUGCUUUCAUUACUGAUUUUCUCGAUUUGCGCCUUGUUCUAUAGACGUGUAAAAUCUUGUUUGAGGGCAGGUAACCCACACGGCGAGGUCGCAGGAGCUGACCGCUCAGGCGCGGGGGCCGGAUGCCACCUGAGCUG
rnacentral:lncRNA from 1 species